rnacentral:rRNA from 1 species
UGGGGAAUAUUGGACAAUGGGCGCAAGCCUGAUCCAGCAAUGCCGCGUGAGUGAUGAAGGCCUUAGGGUUGUAAAGCUCUUUCGCACGCGACGAUGAUGACGGUAGCGUGAGAAGAAGCCCCGGCUAACUUCGUGCCAGCAGCCGCGGUAAUACGAAGGGGGCUAGCGUUGUUCGGAAUUACUGGGCGUAAAGGGCGCGUAGGCGGCCUGUUUAGUCAGAAGUGAAAGCUCCGGGCUCAACCUGGGAAUAGCUUUUGAUACUGGCAGGCUUGAGUUCCGGAGAGGAUGGUGGAAUUCCCAGUGUAGAGGUGAAAUUCGUAGAUAUUGGGAAGAACACCGGUGGCGAAGGCGGCCAUCUGGACGGACACUGACGCUGAGGCGCGAAAGCGUGGGGGAGCAAACAGGAUUAGAUACCCUGGUAGUCCACGCCGUAAACGAUGAAUGCUAGACGUCGGGGUGCAUGCAGCUUCGGUGUCGCCGCUAACGCAUUAAGCAUUCCGCCUGGGGAGUACGGCCGCAAGGUUAAAAACUCAAAGGAAUUGACGGGGUCAUAGCUGUUUCCU